AUUGAACGCUGGCGGCAUGCCUUACACAUGCAAGUCGAACGGCAGCGGGGGAGAAGCUUGCUUUUCCUGCCGGCGAGUGGCGAACGGGUGAGUAAUACAUCGGAACGUGCCCUGUAGUGGGGGAUAACUAGUCGAAAGAUUAGCUAAUACCGCAUACGACCUGAGGGUGAAAGUGGGGGACCGCAAGGCCUCAUGCUAUAGGAGCGGCCGAUGUCUGAUUAGCUAGUUGGUGGGGUAAAGGCCUACCAAGGCGACGAUCAGUAGCUGGUCUGAGAGGACGAUCAGCCACACUGGGACUGAGACACGGCCCAGACUCCUACGGGAGGCAGCAGUGGGGAAUUUUGGACAAUGGGCGAAAGCCUGAUCCAGCAAUGCCGCGUGUGUGAAGAAGGCCUUCGGGUUGUAAAGCACUUUUGUCCGGAAAGAAAUGGCUCUGGUUAAUACCUGGGGUCGAUGACGGUACCGGAAGAAUAAGGACCGGCUAACUACGUGCCAGCCGCCGCAGUAA
rnacentral:rRNA from 1 species